rnacentral:rRNA from 1 species
UACGUAGGGUGCAAGCGUUGUCCGGAAUUAUUGGGCGUAAAGAGCUCGUAGGCGGUCUGUCGCGUCGGAUGUGAAAACCCAGGGCUCAACCCUGGGCCUGCAUUCGAUACGGGCAGACUAGAGUUCGGUAGGGGAGACUGGAAUUCCUGGUGUAGCGGUGAAAUGCGCAGAUAUCAGGAGGAACACCGGUGGCGAAGGCGGGUCUCUGGGCCGAAACUGACGCUGAGGAGCGAAAGCCAGGGGAGCAAACGGG